UGGAAAGAGAGAGAGAGAAAUGAGGAAAGAAACAAGCUUUGCAGGGUUGUUUACAGCCCGAUGUCAGGGAGGCAUUUUCUCAAUGAGAAACCCUGUCUCAGAAAACCAAAGAAAGGGCGGAGAGUCUGAUGUUUCCAGAUCCCCAGGGCUCUGUCUCCUGCGUAUCGUGUUCCUCCACACCAGGUUUCCAAGUGUUUCCUUUCAUAAUGCAGCUACCAGGAAACUUGAAAUGAAUUGGUUCUUUUCUUUUUCUAUUUCUUUGUUUUGAUUUUGUUGUUGUUUGUUUGUUUUUUUGAGAUAGGGUUUCUCCGUGUAGCCCUGAUUGUCCUGAAACUCAUUCUGUAGACCAGGCUGCCUCUGCCUCCCCAGUGCUGGGAUUAAAGGCGUGCACCACCACCGCCCGGCUGAUUUUUGAAUGUUUAAGGCAUAGCAACUUUUUCAUGGUGCUUAUGGUGGGUGUUUGUGGGAGGAUGGGGUGGUCCAGCAUUACCUCAGAGUAACCUGGAUGAAGGGCUAGAAGGGAGGGAUAGUCAGGCCCUCGUGAUGCUCCUGUCUCGGCUGUGGCACUUCUGUGGUAAAAGGCUCCAAGCCUCCCUUUCAUUAGGAACCCCUCAAGCCGGGGAACGUAGUCACAGGCUGUGGGGCGGAUGGAAGGGGUGACCCUGUCCCCAGCACAGGUCACUCACUGAGUGCACUCAUCCUCUCCUCCAAGUGUGGCUGUGGGUCAGGGCGCCCCAAAACACCCUGGCAUCCUAGCCCCGCAGGGUAGAGGAGAGCAGGGGCAGGGGACAAAGGGCCUGGAGACACUUGUCUGUCCUCACGCUCGUCUCUUCCGUUAAUGGAGGCCUCCUGUCCCCUUCUAUCACCCCUGUAGCUCAGCCUCCAACAACAGGUCUGUUCCUCCUGAAAAAAAUGUGUGUGUUGGGGGUAGGGGAGGGUCUACCUAUGAAGACGAGACUGGCCUGUAACCCACAGUCCUCCCUCUCUGCCUCCUGAGUGCUGGGAUUACAGGCAUGAACUACGCUCGGUCAGAAACCCACUUUCCUGCAGUCUGGUGUGUGGACUGUAGAAGUCUCCCAUCAUCUGCCCUGCGCCAAGCGUCCUGACUGGCCUGUGUUCCUGUGGGACUAACUUGGCACCUGGUAGUCUCUCCUAACCCCACUUUAAGGCACCCGAGCAGGCACUUCCUGUCAGAUGCACCGCGUUUGCCCAGAGUGAGGAUGUCAGCAGGGAAGCAGGCGAAAACCGAGUGUGGCUGCCACAGGAAGUCACACCGUGCCAGGAGCCAGCCCCGGUGGCCAGCAGUGGCCGGCUGCUUGCACUGGCAGCCUCUGUCACACAGCACUGGGCUUACACAUCACUGGCUACUCUGAGCUACUGGACAUGCGUGGGGUAAAUCAUCACCCUCCCCCAAUCUGGCUCCUCGUGGAAGCUUGGGCCUGCUGAGGUCCCGGCCUUGCUGAGGAAUGCAGGCUCCCAUUGUGGGUGGUAGGGCCAGCUGUGGGGCGGAAACAGUGGGGGCGACAGGACGAGCAAUGGACAUGCAGGGCACCAGGCAGUGAGGAGGGGACAGUUGGGGAGGGAGACGGGGCACUGGUGUCCCCUUACCCCAGCUCUGCAGUGGCUCUUCCCCUCAGGAGGCCCAGACAACUGGCUGUGGGCCCUUUGAUGCUAAAUGCCAUCUUCCCUGUAAGGGCCACAGGCCAGCUCCGCACUGGGCUCUUGCAGUCUGUCUGGUGGUGGCAGCCUGCCCUACACUCCUCCUCCUUUGUCCCCAGCCCCUCUGGUCCCAAGGGAGCACACCUGGCAUUCACUCCCAGAGCCUGGCUUGAAGGAGUCAGGGAGCCGAGGAUUCGAGUUGUAGGUGGACCCAUGCCUCCGCUCAGGCCCUCCACAGGAGAUCCUUGGUGUGUGUGGCUAUCCUUAGAAUCAAGCAACUGCCGUUGUGGGGAGUUCAGCCACACCCUGCAAGCUGCAAAAUGAUUACCCCAGCUGGGCUUGCUGACUGUUUACUCAUGGAAGGAUGGACCCUUAUCUGGGCCUCCAUCUGCUCUUACCUGAGCUGUAAGCAACAUUACCUUAAUUGGCCUCAGGCGUGCCUGCAGUAUACAGGCCAGGGCAGACUAGGAGGGCUGGCUCGCCCCCAGGAGAGAGAGGAGGAAGCCCAAAAUCCAUGGGUUCCUUAGAGUGACUGCUGGUGGCAUCAUGCCUCGGUUGUCAUUAGGACCAAAAGAAGAUGGGUGGGCACUGUUCAGCUUCCGCUUGGGGAGGGCCCUUGGCAGCAGCCCCCACCUGAGCCCGAAGGCCCAGACCGAGGCAGUCUCCUGUUCCCGGCUUCUGCCUGAGGCAGAGAAGUCUUCAUCCCUCAGGCUUCGUUUCCUCCUUCCAUGGAGACUGCUAAGGUGUUCUGGAGUUUGGGUGCUGCCAACUAUUGGGGGGCUGUUACUGUGCUGUGGAUCACCCCAAUCUGCCCCCAGCCCCACCCAUGACAAUCUCUGAGCUUCUAGGUGUGGUCACCAGGUCUUUAUCCUGGAAGCUCCCCCCGACACUCACUCUCUCUCUCCUCUCUCUCUCUCUCUCUCUCUCUCUCUCUCUCUCUCUCUCUCUCUCUCUCUCUCUCUCUCUCUCUCUCUCUCCCUCCCCUGAAUGAGUUCUCAAAAGUCCCCACAUCCCUGCAAAGUCCCUGCCUCCCCCCACGUCCGUCUCCUCAGCUGACCUGCAUGUUCCUAGGGAGAUGUGGCCAUUUCCCCAUCUGGAGCUGGGCAUGUAGUAGCACCCAGCGGAUGGACAGCAGGGCCUGGCAGGCACUGUGCAUCAUGGAUGUUCUGGGGACACCUCCUCCCUGCUGUAUUAGAACAGCUAUUGCCACCUGCCUGGCCCCAUUGUUGGUCUCCCUGGUGCCAGAAUCCUUGGUGCAGCCUCAGAGAGGGUUUGCUUAUGGCCACUGAAGGACAAGCAGAGACUCCAAAGACUCCGUUCAGAGCUGGGGCUUUGGGGGAAAAGCUUAUUCUCAGCCUUAGUCUCCCAGGCCCAUGUGGACCGGGGUACACUCAGGAGCUCCCCACCUGGGCUCCUGGAGCUCCUUGAGAACUGCACAGGAAGUGUCCCCUCCCUCCACUUAGACCUGCACACACUGCACGUACAUACCAGUGCCCCAGGCCAGGGAGCUCUGGCUUCGGCACUUUCUGGGUAAUUGCCCAAGAGCCGGCCUCUGGCCGAGACAGCAGCUACCCCAAAGGCUCAUCUAACCUCGGCUACCUCCCUCAACCACUUCUGGAGCUGUCUGCUUGUCCUGAGGACCUGGACAGACAGCCACGGUGAGACACAGAGGAGACACAGACUUGCGUGGUUGCUGCAGUCCUGGAUCCUCCCCAGAAGGCCCCCCAGCAAAUCAGCAGUGGGCAUGUCCCUGAGUCAUGGGGGCAGGCAUUGAGCCCAGCUGCCCUGUCGACCCGCCAGGCCUGCAGCCCUAGACUCCAGGGAGGAAAACAAACCACGCUAUUGCACAGUGGAACCACUGUAAGGCAGCUGGGCACGGUGGCGCACACCUUUAAUCCCGGCACUCAGAGGCAGAGGCAGGAGGAUCUCUGAGAGUUGCAGGCCAGCCUGGUCUACAGAGGAUGACCUGGGCUACACAGAGAAACCCUGUCCCAAGUUAAGAAUGGAUCCACCACAAGAAGACAGAAUGGGAGUCUUAAGCGGGGAUGGCAUGGUUUGAUGCUGACAAAGGCCUUGCUUCUUUAGGAACAGAUCUUCACAUAUGAUCACAAAACUGCUACAGAGGUGAGAGUCAGACCUGCCACAGAGGAGAGUCAGACCUGCCCCAGAGGAGACUCAGACCUGCCCCAGUGGAGAGAGAGUCAGACCUGCCCCAGUGGAGAGAGAGUCAGACCUGCCCCAGUGGAUAGAGGGUCAGAUGUGCCCCAGUGGAGAGUCAGACCUGCCCCAGUGGAGAGAGAGAGUCAGACCUGCCCCAGAGGAGACUCAGACCUGCCCCAGUGGAGAGAGAGUCAGACCUGCCCCAGUGGAGAGAGAGUCAGACCUGCCCCAGUGGAGAGAGAGUCAGACCUGCCCCAGUGGAUAGAGGGUCAGAUGUGCCCCAGUGGAGAGUCAGACCUGCCCCAGUGGAGAGAGAGAGUCAGACCUGCCCCAGAGGAGACUCAGACCUGCCCCAGAGGAGAGUCAGACCUGCCCCACUGGAGACUCAGACCUGCCCCAGAGGAGAGUCAGACCUGCCCCAGAGGAGAGUCAGACCUGCCCCAGUGGAGAGCCGGAGUUAAAAAGUCCAGGAAGUUGUCCACAGUGACAUACAAGGGUCCCAAGAGGGUAAGGAAUGAGAGCCUGAACUUUGCUAGUGUUCUUUAUAGUUGGGUCCAAGGAACUUAACAGGAGACAAAGCCUUUCCCAACAGCCACACAAGGUCAUGUGACCACCUCCAGCACCCAAAGGCCACAGGUAAAUCUCACUGGGGGGGGUAGCAUUGAGCUUGGCAGGGCUCCAAGCUGUGCAGUGUGGGGUGGGUGUCUUUGAAGGUCACAGAAAUCCACUUUUAAAGAGACAAAGUCUGCUUCAACAGGACACUGGAAGGCUGACAUGUCACUCUUGGAAACAGGGAAAGGUGCACCUGAAGUGACUUCCAGGUAUGAAUGAUUCCCCAGAGUUCACUUUAAAAACCUGCAGUCACACUUGAAGGGCGUUCUAAAGCCGUGAUGCUGAGGGGCAGUCAGCACAACGGCUUUGGCCAAAAGGACAAUCUAGGGACUUUGGUGAGGAGGAGCCACAGCUCUGGGGACCCGCUGUCCUGUGAACGGUACACUAAUUUAUUCAUCCAUCACACUUGUACAAGUUUGAAGAGAAUUCCCUUACAAAGUUUCCUAAUCAAUAUCGUGUGGGGGGAACCCCAAAACAACAUGGCUCACCAGAGUUGAGAAGGGUGACUCUCACAGGGCAUGUGAUAAAAUGGGGACACGGAAUGGGGCUUAUUAGACAUGUGAUAAAAUGGGGACACGGAAUGGGGCUUAUUAGACAUGUGAUAAAAUGGGGACACGGAAUGGGGCUUAUUAGACAUGAUGUGGGACCCGCAUUGUCCAGCCACUGCAGAAUUGUGGGGAAUUCCUUUGUUUGCAUUAAUAGACAGCAUAGAGCUGGGUACUUAGAAAACAGUCACAGAAACACAUAUGCCCUUUGAGGGUAGGGUAAAACAAACCAGGCGGUGGUGGCGCACGCUCGGGAGGCAGGGGCAGGCAGAUUUUUUUUGAGUUUGAGGCCAGCCUGGUCCACAGAGCGAGCUCCAGGACAGCCUCCAAAGCUACAGAGAAACCCUGUCUCAAAAAAGCCAAAUCAAACAACCCCCACCCCCAUACACAAAAAGGAUAAAACAAGUAAUGAAACCUUUUAUGCACCGAGAGGCAAAUGAGGAGUCCUCAAGUCAGUGUCACCAGGCACCACAGUCUCUCUCUAGUAGAUACAGGUGAUGUUUAGGAUGCCAGUGGCAGAGACAGGGUCUCCUGGAUUACCUAUGGUCUCUGGUGUCAUGGUGUAACUGAGGUCAUGUUAAAUGGGCGUGUCUAUUCCACAGGGGUAACUGACAAGAGGAAUCAUCUCAUGCAGCCCCAGGCAGAUGCCCCUCAGCUGCGGUGACCUGCCACUGGGCACAACAGGCGUCCUCCUCGGUCACAGGGAGACGACCAUGGCUCUGUAAAAGGGCCACUGGCGUCAUUUAAGGUCCCUAGCCUUUUUAACUAAUGAGAAUUUUAGUUGAGAUCUCACAAGCAAAAAUGAACUGAAGGCAUUGAAUAGCUGUUUUUACCCUUCCUCAAGCAGUCUCAAAUUUUGGGUCGUUAGGUUUCAUUAAUCUUUUUGUGUGUUGUACUUAAGAUUUCCUCCUCUCUAAUGAAAAGCCUAGGGGGGACAGGUUUUUUUUUUUUUAAAGCAAAAAUGUGUAUGAAAAACAAGUAAUUAAAAAAAUGUGUAUGAAAAACAAAACAAAACUGACCACCCUAACAAAAACCUCACCCCAUGAGGAAGGACCAAUCAGGCCUUGUAACUUAAAAGGCCAAGCUUUGUUUAGUGUAAUAAAACAUCUCUGUAUUGUUUUUA